rnacentral:rRNA from 1 species
UACGAAGGGUGCAAGCGUUAAUCGGAAUUACUGGGCGUAAAGGGCGCGUAGGCGGUGCGGUAAGUCACCUGUGAAAACUCUGGGCUCAACUCAGAGCCUGCAGGCGAAACUGCCGUGCUGGAGUGUGGGAGAGGUGCGUGGAAUUCCCGGUGUAGCGGUGAAAUGCGUUGAGAUCGGAAGGAACGCCCGUGGCGAAAGCGAGGUCCUGGACGCCUACUGACGCUGAGACGCGAAAGCCAGGGGAGCGAACGGG